GCUGCGAGAACUAAUAAGAGAAACUUAAUUGUUACUCAUUUUGCAGCUGGUUGAUCUUGUCUCCAAAUCUAUGGCUAAUCUUUCUUCCCCAUGUUUCAUCAUUCUGCUCUCGAUCAUCACCCUGUCAAUCAACGUAGAUGCGCGGCGUCUUCUAGAGGCAACAUUGCCUGAGCUUCCUAAGCCUGAGUUGCCAUCACUUCCUAAGGUUGAGCUUCCACCAUUACGUGAAGUCCCAAUCUUGCCUAAACCUGAAAUUCCUACUCUUCCAAAACCCGAAUUGCCCGAGUUACCAAAGCCUGAGCUGCCGGCUUUACCCCACUUGCCUGAGCUCCCAAAGCCUACAUUCCCUGUUAUACCCACAAUUCCUAAGGACACCAAACCUCUUCAGUCAACCACCAGUCCUUAAACAAUGAUCUCAUCUCCGUUGAUUUCGCAUUUGUCAGCGUGAUUUAUUGUUUUACGAGUGUCUGCUUCAUGUUUGCUUAUGUUGUAGUGAUUUAUUUUCUAUAUAUGUUUGGAGUUUAUCUUCUUCAUGUAAAGUUGACCUAGCUUAUAUAUAUGAUUAUGGGUAUGAAUAUAAUCAAUGUAAAUAAACAGUUUAUGAUCCAAGCGUC
rnacentral:lncRNA from 1 species